rnacentral:rRNA from 1 species
CCUACGGGUGGCAGCAGUGAGGAAUAUUGGUCAAUGGACGAGAGUCUGAACCAGCCAAGUAGCGUGAAGGAUGACUGCCCUAUGGGUUGUAAACUUCUUUUAUAUGGGAAUAAAACGUUCCACGUGUGGGAUUUUGUAUGUACCAUAUGAAUAAGGAUCGGCUAACUCCGUGCCAGCAGCCGCGGUCAUACGGAGGAUCCGAGCGUUAUCCGGAUUUAUUGGGUUUAAAGGGAGCGUAGGUGGAUUGUUAAGUCAGUUGUGAAAGUUUGCGGCUCAACCGUAAAAUUGCAGUUGAAACUGGCAGUCUUGAGUACAGUAGAGGUGGGCGGAAUUCGUGGUGUAGCGGUGAAAUGCUUAGAUAUCACGAAGAACUCCGAUUGCGAAGGCAGUUCACUGGACUGCAACUGACACUGAGGCUCGAAAGUGUGGGUAUCAAACAGGAUUAGAUACCCCAGUAGUC